GAGGAGAGGGAUGAAAAGCGGGGGAGCGAGAGAAAAAGAGUGAUCGAGCGCAGGGGGUCGGUUUCGAGAAGGGCGAACGUUCGAGGGAGUCGGGCGGGAAGGCACGCACCGGGUCGUUCCCAGUAAUCGUGACUACUGGCAAAGAUUUUCGCUAUAGGGCAUCGAACGCGUGCAACGCGCGAUACCAUGGGGGUAGGUCAGCUGCUUUCUGCCAUAUACCGGGGUGUAUCGGAGACCCCUCGUUCGCAGCUGCCAAAUCAGGCACCUUCAUCGUCGCGACGCGUUGCACCACCUUCCCACCGCUUCUUCUCAUCGACGAAAGAUCGUUGCCCGAUUUGAACUUACGUGUCCGUCCAGUUCGCUAUCGUCCUUCUGUCCGCUUUUUCGUACUCGGUUUUAUUCCAUUUACCUGUUUACCUGUUUAUCCGUUACCCGGUCACGUUCCGGUGCACAGGUGGACCGAAACGGGCUCGAAUGCGUAUCGGUUUUGUACGAAUGGUAUAAAACCAAGGAGAAAUUCGGUAAACGGCGUAAACUCGUUAUCGCGAGAGCAACCGUUCGCAACGCGAGUAGCGAGUUCACGCUUCGUACGUAUAACGGACUGGAAGGGAACUCGAAAUCGGGCAAAUGCCCGGCACCCUACGACUUUGAUUUUUCUAUAAGAACGAGUGCAGAUGGUCGUAUCCAUUGUGAUGGUUGGCACGUGCCAACUAUGGGUACCCCGAUGGUGCACCGCUAAGUGCAUAUAUGCCUGCCUAUACGUCGAGAGACAGUGUUCGAAGCAGCUUGUGUGCGCUCACACAGGCGGCCAAACUUCGAAUCGAGAAACGUUCGAUAUGCGUGUAUGUAUGCGAGCGUACGCCUAUAGACGUAUAGACAUAUAGGCGUAUGGGCGUCGCGGCGCGGUGUCUCCCAUCGACGACACGGGAGCGAAAAGAAACCCGGGGGAGCCAUUUACGUAAUACUUGAUCGAGGGUUCUCAAACGCCGGAUCCGUCAGCGUAAACAUUCAAUUUACCAAUACGACUAUUAAGCUACCUUUUGAGAUAACGUUCCGUCGGGACGCGAUAACGCCUCGACGUUUUCCCGUUUCGAACCGGUCGAAAACUUUUAUCGAUCAAUGUAUGUACGUGUUCGAUAUUGGAUAAGUUAGUCGGUGGGAUUCGCGAACGAGUCGUAGGACAACCACUGUCAACGAUGACCUCGUAACCGUAAAGUCUGGUAGAGAGCAAGACGGCUUUGCAGCUUCCUAAACGGGAUCAUCGUCUGUUCCUUCGGGAUCUCGAAGGGCGUAAGAGACAGCCCUACUCGUUCCUCGCUAUUCUUUCCGAUACGCGCAGCCGCCAUACACCGCAGAUGCACCAUACGGGAGAUCGAAAUUCGCAAUACGAUGGGAAACGGGCGAAAGAAAGGGCGAACGAGAGAGGGGAAAAAAAGCGUGGAGAAGAAGACGACGAGCAGAAGGAGGAUAAAAAUUGCUCGAACCCCUAACGAGUAUCAAAAGUCCCCUCUUCCGGACGGAGAGACGAAAACGAAGCCAAGUCGGAAGAAGUAAUCAUUCUGGAAAGAGAGGGACCUCGAUGACCGUGGGAGGCUUUCGCGGAGGAUGAAAGGAUAGGAGGAUGAGAACACGGUAUGGAACAGAAUCUUCAACGGUGACGUCGAUAACAGCGGCAGCAGCAGUGACAACAGCAACAAGCUUGUAACAAGUUUAUUGCUCCCUCGAAUAAUUCGCCAAACGGAAUUGUUACAUGUCGACAAAAACUAAAUGAUAAACACGAGUAAUAUGUCGAAUUAACUUCAUCCGUAAUGAAAAGUGUAGCGCAAGAAAAAAACGAUGUCUGGAAUGUGAACACGCGGUACGGUCGUUUCAAAGUGUACGUGUACUUUACUCUAACGAUGUUUUCAAAUACCGACAUAGAAAAGACAGACAAGAUGAAAAUCUGUUUUUCAUUUUUGUUUAUACCAUGAAAUCCAUUUUACAAACAUAUGGUGAAUUAUCCACGAUUAAUACUAAUGCCGCAAUUACUGAAUCGAUAUGAAUACGAGGUUACUUACAUCCAAAUAUAAGUAACCUUACAAGUUUCAAGCAUGAAUAAAACGUACGAAAAGGAAUAACGUAUCACGACCGGUAACUUAAUCAGGGGGUUAGGUAAUUCAAUUAUUGACAUUUUAUCAAAACCGAAUAACACAGAAGGAAAGGCAAUUCAUUCUCCAUAUUUGGUGUAAUUAUUGACGUUUCUUUAUUCCUUGCCUCGCAAGAAAGAUGAACGAAUCGAAAAAAUACGUAGCUUACCUUUUUUCCCGAAAAUGUGUUUUGACGAAAGUAAUUAUCUAAUUGUAAUCUCAAUUAAGUUCUCGCUUAAUAACCUUGUCAAUUAUAACUUAUCAAGGUAACGAGAUAUUAAGUAAAACGUAACGGCCGAAAUUCCACAGUAAUUAGCAAGUUGACACUCCUGUCAAACUAAUAGCCCGCGUGAAAUACUCUUUUAUUUCCGGUAGCGCCAUCUACCAUGAAUAUAUGAAA